GACGAACGCUGGCGGCGUGCUUAACACAUGCAAGUCGAACGGAAAGGCCCUGCUUUCGUGGGGUGCUCGAGGGGCGAACGGGGGAGUAACACGUGAGUAACCUGCCCUUGACUUUGGGAUAACUUCAGGAAACUGGGGCUAAUACCGGAUAGGAGCUCCUGCUGCAUGGUGGGGGUUGGAAAGUUUCGGCGGUUGGGGAUGGACUCGCGGCUUAUCAGCUUGUUGGUGGGGUAGUGGCUUACCAAGGCUUUGACGGGUAGCCGGCCUGAGAGGGUGCACGGCCACAUUGCGACUGCGAUACGGCCCAGACUCCUACGGGAGGCAGCAGUGGGGAAUAUUGCCCAGUGGGCGGAAGCCUGAUGCAGAGACGCCGCGUGCGUGAUGACGGCCUUCGGGUUGUAAACCGCUUUCGCCUGUGACGAAGCGUGAGUGACGGUAAUGGGUAAAGAAGCACCGGCUAACUACGUG
rnacentral:rRNA from 1 species